CGCCCUGUCACAUGACACAAACGUCACUACGUUACGUUUUUUUCGGGGUUGCUCACUCAACAGGAAGUUCUUUUUCUCCCACACGUACGCACGCACGCACACAUGCCAUGCCGCUGGGCCGGCCAAUCAGGACAGGCCUGUUUGCAAUUCACUUCCACUCAACAGCAGGAUUGACACUUCUGAGCCUCAGUCGGAGGAAUAAAGCAAGAAAAUAUUUGAGUUGGCAGCCGGGAGGCCCACUUGCUGCACCGCUAACACACGUGGGACGGAAUAAAAGCGUACCUGCAUGUUUUCAGUGGCGUCCCCCAGCAGCCCUCCGAAGGUGAUGGCGUUGGUGACGGUGCCCAGGUAGAUGAACAAGAUGGUGGACAGCGACUGGAUGUGCAGCGCGUCGUAGAAAUCGCUGGCGAAGAACGGCACCUUGCGCUUCACGUCCAGCACCAGGCCACCGCAGAACCUGACAGACAAACAAGUAAAUACAUCAAUAAACUAAUUAGAACAUAAUCUAUAAAUACAUUAAAUCCUUGA